UACGGUGGGGGCAAGCGCUGUUCGGAAUUACUGGGCGUAAAGGGCUCGUAGGCGGCCAACUAAGUCAGACGUGAAAUCCCUCGGCUUAACCGGGGAACUGCAUCUGAUACUGGAUGGCUUGAGUUUGGGAGAGGGAUGCGGAAUUCCAGGUGUAGCGGUGAAAUGCGUAGAUAUCUGGAGGAACACCGGUGGCGAAGGCGGCAUCCUGGACCAACACUGACGCUGAGGAGCGAAAGCCAGGGGAGCAAACGGG
rnacentral:rRNA from 1 species